AAUAUGAAGCAAGACAGUAAUGUUUUCAUUCAUAAACCAAGCGGAUCAAUUUUUGGCACAACAUCAAAGAAUGGUUUUUUAAACGGUUUGAAAGCAAAUUCCACAGUUGGCAAUUUACGAACUUUGGACGAAAAUAUGAAUGGAGGCAAAAGUCGAUCAUUGAACAGCAUGAUUCAUUCGAAAGUUAUUCAUCUUUCACAUGGCAAGUUAUUCACGCCUGAUUUAAGUGAUGACAACAAAUUCGCGCUUAUUGCUGAUUCACAAAAUAGAAAUUACAAAGUUUAUUCAAUUCCAGUUAAUUUAGAACCAGUUGGAGUGAAUGCAAUUCACAUCAACUUUGAAAUAGCUAUAAUUCGACUUUUAGAACAGGCCAAACAGUGUUUGUUGAAGAAUUGUAAUUUUGAAUCCUUAGAAUUUCCAAUACCAGAAUUCACCUUGUUGCUUCCUCCACCAGCGCUGUUUUUCAUCACUGUAUGCCAGCCUCGUAACACCAGCGAUUCAGAUAAUGAUUGAAAGGAACAGACGGGGGCAUUCGUAUUGCUGCGUUAGAGGUGAAAUUCUUGGAUCGCAGCAAGAUGAACAAUUGCGAAAGCAUUUGCCAAGAAUGUUUUCAUUAAUCAAGAACGAAAGUUAGAGGUUCGAAGGCGAUCAGAUACCGCCCUAGUUCUAACGGUAAACUAUGCCAACCAGCGAUUCGCCGAAGUUCAUUUAAGACUCGGCGAGCAGCUUCCGGGAAACCAAAGUGUUUCGGUUCCGGGGGAAGUAUGGUUGCAAAGCUGAAACUUAAAGGAAUUGACGGAAGGGCACCACCAGGAGUGGAGCCUGCGGCUUAAUUUGACUCAACACGGGAAAACUCACCCGGCCCGGACACUGGAAGGAUUGACAGAUUGACAGCUCUUUCUUGAUUCAGUGGGUAGUGGUGCAUGGCCGUUCUUAGUUGGUGGAGCGAUUUGUCUGGUUAAUUCCGAUAACGAACGAGACUCUACCCUAUUAAAUAGUGACAGUAUUGUAUUUUUUGUGCUGAUCACUUCUUAGAGGGACUGGCAAAUUGAAAGCUGCACGAAAAAGAGCAAUAACAGGUCUGUGAUGCCCUUCGAUGUCCGGGGCUGCACGCGCGCUACAAUGAAAGCGUCAACGUGAGUUACGUCCUUACCUGAAAAGGUUUGGCAAUCGAAUGAAACGUUUUCUUGAAUGGAAUAGGGAAUUGCAAUUGUUUCCCUUGAACGAGGAAUUCCCAGUAAGCGUGAGUCAUUAGCUCGCGUUGAUUACGUCCCUGCCCUUUGUACACACCGCCCGUCGCUACUACCGAUUGGAUGAUUUAGUGAGGUGUUUUGACUGGCGCCAGUAGUCGGAUGUAUUCGGCUUCGCGCCGGGAAAUUUCCCAAACCAAAUCAUCUAGAGGAAGUAAAAGUCGUAACAAGGUUUCCGUAGGUGAACCUGCGGAAG
rnacentral:rRNA from 1 species